GAUGAACGCUGGCGGCGUGCCUAAUACAUGCAAGUCGAGCGAACGGACGAGAAGCUUGCUUUUCUGAUGUUAGCGGCGGACGGGUGAGUAACACGUGGAUAACCUACCUAUAAGACUGGGAUAACUUCGGGAGACCGGAGCUAAUACCGGAUAAUAUUUUGAACCGCAUGGUUCAAAAGUGAAAGACGGUCUUGCUGUCACUUAUAGAUGGAUCCGCGCUGCAUUAGCUAGUUGGUAAGGUAACGGCUUACCAAGGCAACGAUGCAUAGCCGACCUGAGAGGGUGAUCGGCCACACUGGAACUGAGACACGGUCCAGACUCCUACGGGAGGCAGCAGUAGGGAAUCUUCCGCAAUGGGCGAAAGCCUGACGGAGCAACGCCGCGUGAGUGAUGAAGGUCUUCGGAUCGUAAAACUCUGAUAUUAGGGAAGAACAUAUGUGUAAGUAACUGUGCACAUCUUGACGGUACCUAAUCAGAAAGCCACGGCUAACUACGUG
rnacentral:rRNA from 1 species